rnacentral:rRNA from 1 species
GGCUCACCUAGGCGACGAUCCCUAGCUGGUCUGAGAGGAUGACCAGCCACACUGGAACUGAGACACGGUCCAGACUCCUACGGGAGGCAGCAGUGGGGAAUAUUGCACAAUGGGCGCAAGCCUGAUGCAGCCAUGCCGCGUGUGUGAAGAAGGCCUUCGGGUUGUAAAGCACUUUCAGCGGGGAGGAAGGCGUUAAGGUUAAUAACCUUGGCGAUUGACGUUACCCGCAGAAGAAGCACCGGCUAACUCCGUGCCAGCAGCCGCGGUAAUACGGAGGGUGCAAGCGUUAAUCGGAAUUACUGGGCGUAAAGCGCACGCAGGCGGUCUGUCAAGUCGGAUGUGAAAUCCCCGGGCUCAACCU